rnacentral:piRNA from 1 species
UGGCCUACUGGGUGAGUGUCAUGAAUGG